rnacentral:lncRNA from 10 species
AUCUUUGUCCAUCACUAGGUGGUACAACUCCCCCUCCCCUCACCUGCCUCACACACAUAUGACCUACAGUGGAAAACUGAGCUCCAGAUGGUUCAUGGACUUGCCCAAAGUCACCUGUACCAUUGCUGACUUGGAACUUGAAUGUCCAAGCCUUCUAAAUCCUCAUCUGCAUUUUUCACAUUAGAGAAUUUUGAUCUCUGACUUCCAACAGUUAUUUCAGGAGAGGAAAAUGCAUGGCUUCACUAUCCAAUGGACUAAAAAAUUGAGUAAGGGAUAGAACAUAUUUUACACUCCAACUUGAAAACUUGUCGUAAUGAUGCUCUUCCAGCAUGAAGAAAUUAAAAUUGGCCUUCCUCUUCGUUCUCCUGAAUUGUUCACUGUAACUGAGUGGAGAUAUUUUAGGAGGGUUCUUACUGUGGCUUCUGAAGACCUUUUUCAGAAUAAGGUCUUUUUUAAAUGAGAUAAUAAUAGAUUUCUGAAGAAAAAAAUUUGCUAACAUCACUUAACUACUCAAAAUGUUGCAGGGUUUAUAAAAACAGGUAAAAACAUUGUAUUGCCUUCCUUCAAGGAGCUUAAAAUAUUGAGUAUGUGUAUCUAUAUCUAUACUGCCUUUUUUGUUUUUUUCUUUUUUGAGACAGCAUCUCACUCUGUCAUCCAGGCUAGAGUACAGUGGCACAAUCACGGCUUACUGCAGUUUCAGUCUUCUGGGCUCAAGCAGUCCUCCUGCCUCAGCUUCCCAAGUAGCUGGGACUACAGGCAAGUGCCUCAACAGGCCAGGCUAUUUUUUUUCAUAUUUUUUAGAGAUAAGGUCUUGCUAUGUUGCCUAGGCUAGUCAUGAACCCCUGGCCUCAAGCAAUUCUCCUACCUUAGACUCCCAAAGUGUUGGGAUCAAAGGCAUGAGCCACUGUGAUCGGCCUAUAUUAUCUUUACCUAGCUACAUAUAGGUAUGCAAUUUUGCAUAUAAACAAAUACUUGUAUUUACAUAAAGUUUAAACAAUGAAGAAAACAUAUAUAAUAGACCUUAUUCUUGCUCAUUUAUUGCUUCUUUUAACUGUGCUAAGUGUUGGAAACAGAAGGAUGUGUAAACAUUUGUCUUCAUCAGGUAGGAGUAUACAACCUAGGAAGGGGAAAAAUAAGACCUAAAAAUAAAUGGCUAUAAAGCUAUAUCCUACAUAUUAAGUA